AUACUUACCUGGCAGGGGGAAUACCAUGACCAAGAAGGUGAUUUCCCUAGGGUAAAGCUCUUCCAUUGCACAUUUUGGUUGGGUUGACCCCUGUGAUUUCCCAAAAUGUGGGUAACUCAAUUCCAUAAUUUCUGGUAAAUUCUGGUAAGUUCUGAUA